rnacentral:rRNA from 1 species
UACAGAGGUCCCGAGCGUUGUUCGGAUUCAUUGGGCGUAAAGGGUGCGUAGGCGGUUUGCUAAGUUUGAUGUGAAAUCCCGGGGCUUAACCCUAGAAUUGCAUUGAAUACUGCCGGGCUAGAGUCCGGAAGAGGCGAGUGGAAUUCCUGGUGUAGCGGUGAAAUGCGUAGAUAUCGUGAGGAAUACCAGAGGCGAAGGCGGCUACCUGGACAAUUGCUGACGCUCAGGCACGAAAGCGUGGGGAGCAAAAGGG